GCCACUCGCUCAAUCUCGCUCCUCCAAAUCUGACUGCCCUCCAUGCUCGCCCCCUAACUCGCCGAGCCCAGAUCUUCCUAAAUCUUCUGCAUCCUCCACGCCGCCGACCUUAGCAUCUACCUUGCAGCGGCGAUAUGGAGUGAGUGGUGGUGCCAUCAUGGGGGCUGUGGAGCUGGAGACCAGUAACGAGUCGAGUGGGAUUCAGUCCUGGCCCGCCCCGUCGCGGCUUCAGUUGGUUUAGGUGGCCCGUCCACUACUCCGCCCCCGGCAAUCCACUGCCGGCGCCCUCACCGCCGCCGCGGCCGCCGCCGACCAUCGCCGCUGCGGCCGCCACCGACCGCCACUGCCGACCGCAAACAGGGUCACUGCCUCGUGGGACUCAUGGCUGCUGGUCGGCACCGGUGCCGUGGUACCCGUGGCUGAUUGGGACACCGGAUCUGAGGAGCUCGUCAUCUGUUUGAGUGGCACAUUGGGGAUCUUGUUGAUAAUUUGACUAUAUUUGAAGAACGCACUGCUUCCCUCACCCACGAACUGCAGACCUCUCCGAUUAAAUAGCAGUAAGUAUAUCAGUAUUCAUCGAAUACAUUUUGAUUGAAAUAGCAGUCGUGUGUUAGACAUUGUCUUGAAUGCACUUGUUUGUUAACUGCAUAUUCAUCUUUAGUUUGGCAAAAAAAAAUCCUUUUCUGCUACUUGUUUGUUGAUAUGUGUUACUUAUUUUGAAACUGAAAUAUUCUAUUUCCCGACAUUUUUCUAUGGUUGAUAUUUGUAUAAAAUUGUUGUGACACUGAAAUAUACUAUCUUUUUUAGUUAACACAGAACAAGAGUAAUGGCAAACCGUGAAUGGAUGUAUAGUGGUUGGUCUCGUGGGCAGCCUCCUUCUCAUGAGUGGAUUGAAAACACAAACAGGUUUCUAGAUCAUGCAUUCUCAUAGCUGGAUCUGGUCGAAGGCGAUCAUUGAUAACUACUGCUGUGACCUUGACUAUGACCUUGACUGUGACCUGCAGGAUGUGAAGUUAACUUGUUUUGGUCUAUUUUGGUAGAAGCUAACAUAUUAUGUGUAGCUGAGCUUUUGCUGAGUAUUUUGUGAGUGUCUGAUGAUGACACAUGUAGGCAUGAUACAAUAUUGCCAUCUAGAUUAUAUGUAGGUAUGAUGAUGUGGUGAUGACAUGUUUGCCCUAUGCAAACUGGACUUGUACUGAGGCAAAUGCUUGUGGAUAUAUGAUCCAUACAUUGUUGGUGCAAUCAUAUAAUCCAAUUUGGCUCAAUUGAAUUGUGAUUGCAGAAGUAAUGGUUUUAUUUGUA